CGGCCGCGGUACCCUAACCGUGCAAAGGUAGCAUAAUCAUUUGUCUAUUAACUGUAGACCUGUAUGAAAGGCAAAAUGAGGGUUUAACUGUCUCUUAUGAUAAAUCUAUUAAACUGAUCUCCCAGUAAAAAAGCUGGGAUGCUCCCAUAAGACCAGAAGACCCUGUGAAGCUUUAACUAAACUAUUAAACCAAAUAAUAACUACUUUAGGUUGGGGCGACCUUGGAAAAAAAAAGAACUUCCAACAUAACAAAUACCACCAAGGCCUACAAGCCAAUUAACGACCCAGUAACACUGAUAAUCGAACUAAGUUACUCCAGGGAUAACAGCGCCAUCUUCUUCAAGAGCCCAUAUCAAAAAGAAGGUUUACGACCUCGAUGUUGGAUCAGGACACCCCAAUGGUGCAACCGCUAUUAAAGGUUCGUUUGUUCAACGAUUAAU
rnacentral:rRNA from 1 species